rnacentral:lncRNA from 1 species
CUGCGCCAUGCAGGCCUGUGUGGGAGCCUCCCCUGGGUCUGGGCGUGCAGAUGUAUGGGUGCAGGCCCCCCAACAGUGUGAAGGCAAUGGUCGGUGUGCGCUAGUGUGGACCCCUUCCUAAUCCUGAAUGCAGGAAUUUAUUACCUCUUCAUGACAAUCACAGGCAAUGUUAUCAUGCCCAUGUUUCAGAUGACGAAGCUGAGGCUCUCAGAGCAGGACUCCUAUGGCCAGCUUCGUAGCCACCGCCUCCUGGUCAAGCUCUUGUCAGCAUCCAGCUCCUGGGUGAGUGAGCAGGAGGGGUCCACUCAAGGAGCCUGUGGACACUGAGUUUCUUAACCCCAGCACGAUCUGAAGGAUUGCGUGUUAGACUGAGGAGGUCUGGCAGCGGCAGCUGGGAAAAUUAAAACUAGAGAGCCCUGUAGAAGCUGUGGAUCCAGCAUCAUUAUCAGCGAAAUUGUGGCCGUGAUAAAGCAACAUUUACCUACAG